UAGCAUAUCAAUAAGCGGAGGAAAAGAAACCAACAGGGAUUGCCCCAGUAACGGCGAGUGAAGCGGCAACAGCUCAAAUUUGAAAUCUGGCCCCAGGCCCGAGUUGUAAUUUGCAGAGGAUGCUUUUGGCGCGGUGCCUUCCGAGUUCCCUGGAACGGGACGCCAUAGAGGGUGAGAGCCCCGUACGGUUGGACACCAAGCCUUUGUAAAGCUCCUUCGACGAGUCGAGUAGUUUGGGAAUGCUGCUCUAAAUGGGAGGUACAUUUCUUCUAAAGCUAAAUAUUGGCCAGAGACCGAUAGCGCACAAGUAGAGUGAUCGAAAGAUGAAAAGCACUUUGAAAAGAGGGUUAAACAGCACGUGAAAUUGUUAAAAGGGAAGCGCUUGUGACCAGACUUGCGUCCGGUGAAUCACCCAGCUCUCGCGGCUGGGGCACUUCGCCGGCACAGGCCAGCAUCAGCUUGCCGUCGGGGACAAAAGCUUCAGGAACGUAGCUCCUCUCGGGGAGUGUUAUAGCCUGUUGUAUAAUACCCUUCGGCGGGCUGAGGUACGCGCUCCGCAAGGAUGCUGGCGUAAUGGUCAUCAGCGACCCGUCUUGAAACACGGACCAAGGAGUCAACCUUAUGUGCGAGUGUUUGGGUGUUAAACCCCUACGCGUAAUGAAAGUGAACGCAGGUGAGAGCUUCGGCGCAUCAUCGACCGAUCCUGAUGUUCUCGGAUGGAUUUGAGUAAGAGCAUAUAGGGUUGGACCCGAAAGAAGGUGAACUAUGCGUGUGUAGGGUGAAGCCAGAGGAAACUCUGGUGGAGGCUCGCAGCGGUUCUGACGUGCAAAUCGAUCGUCAAACAUGCGCAUGGGGGGCGAAAGACUAAUCGAACCUUCUAGUAGCUGGUUUCCGC
rnacentral:rRNA from 1 species